rnacentral:rRNA from 1 species
AUGAACGCUGGCGGCGUGCCUAAUACAUGCAAGUCGAGCGAACGGACGAGAAGCUUGCUUUUCUGAUGUUAGCGGCGGACGGGUGAGUAACACGUGGAUAACCUACCUAUAAGACUGGGAUAACUUCGGGAAACCGGAGCUAAUACCGGAUAAUAUUUUGAACCGCAUGGUUCAAAAGUGAAAGACGGUCUUGCUGUCACUUAUAGAUGGAUCCGCGCUGCAUUAGCUAGUUGGUAAGGUAACGGCUUACCAAGGCAACGAUGCAUAGCCGACCUGAGAGGGUGAUCGGCCACACUGGAACUGAGACACGGUCCAGACUCCUACGGGAGGCAGCAGUAGGGAAUCUUCCGCAAUGGGCGAAAGCCUGACGGAGCAACGCCACGUGAGUGAUGAAGGUCUUCGGAUCGUAAAACUCUGUUAUUAGGGAAGAACAUAUGUGUAAGUAACUGUGCACAUCUUGACGGUACCUAAUCAGAAAGCCACGGCUAACUACGUG